AUGCUGGUGACCAUGAAGAAAAUAUUACUUAAACAAACAACAAAAAUUAAGAGAUUGAUUAAUCUGGCCAUAUACAAAGAUAACAUCUAUAUCUAUAAAACACAACACAAAUGUGAUGUCAAGAAAUCAUUACCUUUAAGAACCAACUUGAUACCAGCCUCUAUAAGAAUCCUUUUCAGGGGGAUCCCUGAGUGGCUCAGUGGUUUAGCGCCUGCCUUCGGCCCACGGCAUGAUCCUGGAGUCCUGGGAUCGAGCCCCACGUCGGGCUCCCUGCAUGGAGCCUGCUUCUCCCUCUGCCUGUGUCUCUGCCUCUCUCUGUGUGUCUCUCAUGAAUAAAUAAACAAAAUCUUAAAAAAAAAAAAAAAAAGAAUCCUUUUCAGAUUCUCCAGGUUAGACAAUCUUUUUUUUUCUGGGCUCCUGUUACACUUUGCAUCAUUUCCCCUCCCUCAAAUCAUCUUGGAAGUCUUUUUUUUCUCACAUUUCUAUCUCUUGAGAUAGAUUUAAGAAUUUUUUUUUACUCCAUCUCUGAAUUUUCUUACCAUUUAGCUGAAAGGCCAGGAUGCAGUAGACAUCUAACAGAUGUUUAUAGAAUUAAUUGAGCGUUCACAUUAAUCUUCAAAGCCAGGAAACUGAUCUACAUUCUCUCUUUUCCAAAAUUCCCCCCAGUAGAAUUUUAAGAACAAUAUAGAGUAGUGAUUAAUUGUAUGAUCUCUGAAGUCCGUAGUCUCUUCUGGAAUCCUAUUUCAGCAAUUACAUAGCAUAUUGCCUAGCAUGUCAUAAUGAGCUAAUAUUAUGCUUAUUAUUUAUUUAUUUAUUUAUUUAUUUAUUUAUAGAUUUUAUUUAUUUAUUCAUGAGAGAUACAGAGAGGCAGAGACACAGGCAGAGGGAGAAGCAGGCUCCAUGCAGGGAGCCUGACGUGGGACUCGAUCCCGAGACUCCAGGAUCACGCCCUGGGCCAAAGGCAGGCGCUAAACUGCUGAGCCACCCAGAGAUCCCCUAUGCUUUCUACUUAUUAUGGUUAUUGUCGUUCCAGCUACCAUCAUCAUCACUGACACACGAUUAUAUAUUUCCCAUUUGUAAUCUUGGUAGGGAAAGAGGACACAUGCAUAAUGCAACUGGAGCAUAGUGCAAGAAUGCUAUUUACUAGCCCUCAUUCGAUCUUGGAACAGCUGGCUCCAGCCAAGAAAAGAUCACUCUCCAAGCACGACAGAAAGGAAGCAAACUGUUUGUAGGUAGCUCCAGUUGCUUCCUGCACCAGCUGAUCAAAGUAAUUAGAGCAGCUAAAGGCAGGCAAAAUAUGGAUCCCUCUUCCGUGCCAGGGAUAAGGUAACAUGUU
rnacentral:lncRNA from 12 species